rnacentral:misc_RNA from 1 species
GAUUUAUCUUUCUCAUACUAGACCUAAAAUAGCUUAUACUGUAAGCUUGGUGAGCCAGUAUACGCACGGUCCCCAAGAACCUCACUUAGAUGCUAUCUCCCGCAUUUUAAGAUAUUUAAAAGCUACACCUGAAAAGAAACUUCUUUUUUCAAAGUAUGGCCACUUUCAGAUAAAAGCCUUUACAAAUGCAGAUUGGGCUAGAUCUCUUG